AGGAUUAGGCAACUGUGGUGGCUGCAUUCUCCAAAAAGUUGUGGUAGUCAACAUAAUGGACUAGGAAGCAAUCACAACUCGAUAUGGUGCAUCAGGCAGAGACUCAGUUUAACUGAGUAAUCACUUCAAACCGGGCAGCAAAGCAAAUCUACAGUCCACGCACAGACUAAAUAAUCAAACGUUGGUGCAAGUCAUGUUGGAGGUUACAUCGUGUCAUUUUGUGAGUGGUCGAAAGAACCCCACAUCUUUCCCCGGCCUCCAGCUGGCUGAGGCAUGGAGGGAGAGGGGAGGGAUCUAAACCCGAUCUGCUGCCUCACUGCUCCGACACCGGAGACGUGUGGAGAUGCUCCAUUCCAACCCCAGGGACAGGGAGGGCCGCUGUCGGGGCCUUGGCCUGAAGCUGUCAACCCCCACUCCUCAGUCCGGGCCUGGCAGUUAAGUGGGAAAAUCAGGGACCUCUCCAGUCGGUCGUGUCCCAGGUCAGGUAAUAAGGACGGCCCACCAAUGUUAGGCGGGAGGCCUUCAGGCCCCGAACCCGAGCAGGCUGCAAGAAGCUCGCCGAAGAUGAAGCCGUUACUCACAAUGUUUUCCGCCAUGACACCCCCCGGGAGCGGCUCCUCGGCCUUUUACCGAAAUUUGCCUUCCAACUCCUCCGCGUGUCACCACAAAACCCGUCCGAUGCUGCACAGCGCAAGAGUAGUGGGACUACACAGUAAUACUGCACUCCUCCACCCUCAGUUGCAACAAUCUCCCCCUUUACCAUCAGCAUCAAGCAAAAAGAUCAACACCUAGUUCAACGAAGAUUGCAGGAGGAUAAUCCAGGUGCAGCAUCAAGCAUCUCUAAAAAUAAGGUUUACAGCUUGAAAAAGUACCUUUGCCUGCAUUGUUACAACCAGAGGAAAUGACUUUCAAAACUGCUGUGUCAUUGUGUGUAGGAUGGAAAUUUUGGCGCUUAAUAUUCAAGCCUCAAAUACUGAAAAAAAUGCAUGCAAUUUCCUUGUGUGGCCACUCAGUGUCAGUACAAUGCUUUAUCAUUUCUGUAGACUAGAAAAUUUGUUUCAAACUCAAUGAGAUUCAUUGAUCGUUCUAUGUCGAGUUUUUGGUGCUUUUCCUUGUUUUGGCUACUUGUCUACCGACUGCAUACAAGUUGAUCUACUCGAAUGGUGUACUCUUUCACCUAUUAUGACCAGGUUAGAAAUAAUGAACUGGGUCUCAUCUUUUCAAUCUCCUCAAUUGAUCAUAAUUAAGGUAUAAGUUCUUCUUAGCAUGAGGCUAUAUCUUUCUCCAGUUUAAAAUGUAGUCAACUUUUCUAUUGUAUGUAAUAAUGAGACAAUUACAAGAUUGUAUUCCAUUAUGGAAAGAACAAGCUCACUACCACUAGAAGUAUAAUCAAAUUGUGAUGUCAAGUAUAAGGCCUUUAUGUAGUCACUAAUGCCCUCAUGCAUACACAGGGACAAAGUGAGAAGAGGAUAGUGUACAGCACAAAAGGAGAUAAAAGAAUAUACAGCUUAGUGUCCUUUGAGUGUCUUUGAGGCAUAAGGUUUUAACCUGAGACCAUGUUUGCUUAGUGAUUAUUGCAUUACUCAACAAGUUCUCAAAUUCUCAGUACU